rnacentral:rRNA from 1 species
UACGUAGGCAGCAAGCGUUGUUCGGAGUUACUGGGCGUAAAGGGUGCGUAGGCGGUCCUAUAAGUAUGGUGUGAAAUCUCCCGGCUUAACUGGGAGGGUGCGCUAUAGACUGUGGGACUAGAGUGUGGGAGAGGAAAGUGGAAUUCCUGGUGUGAGCGGUGAAAUGCGUAGAUAUCAGGAGGAACACCGGUGGUGUAAACGGCUUUCUGGACCAUAACUGACGCUGGAGGCACGAAAGCGUGGGUAGCAAACAGG